rnacentral:rRNA from 1 species
GACGUAGGGCGCGAGCGUUGUCCGGAUUUAUUGGGCGUAAAGAGCUCGUAGGCGGCUUGUUGCGUCGACCGUGAAAACCCGGGGCUCAACUUCGGGCUUGCGGUCGAUACGGGCGGGCUAGAGUUCGGUAGGGGAGACUGGAAUUCCUGGUGUAGCGGUGAAAUGCGCAGAUAUCAGGAGGAACACCGGUGGCGAAGGCGGCCCUCUGGACGGAUACUGACGCUGAGACGCGACAGCGUGGGGAGCAAACAGG